GCGCCCGUAGCUCAAUUGGAUAGAGCAUCGGACUUCGGUUCCGAGGGUUGGGAGUUCGAGUCUCUCCGGGCGCG
rnacentral:tRNA from 1 species